rnacentral:rRNA from 1 species
UCUUCAAUGUUAGCGGCGGACGGGUGAGUAACACGUGGGCAAUCUGCCCGUAAGACUGGGAUAACUCCGGGAAACCGGGGCUAAUACCGGAUAACACUUUUCAUCUCCUGGUGAAAAGUUGAAAGAUGGUUUCGGCUAUCACUUACGGAUGAGCCCGCGGCGCAUUAGCUAGUUGGUGAGGUAACGGCUCACCAAGGCGACGAUGCGUAGCCGACCUGAGAGGGUGAUCGGCCACACUGGGACUGAGACACGGCCCAGACUCCUACGGGAGGCAGCAGUAGGGAAUCUUCCGCAAUGGACGAAAGUCUGACGGAGCAACGCCGCGUGAGUGAAGAAGGUUUUCGGAUCGUAAAACUCUGUUGUUAGGGAAGAACACGUACGAGAGUAACUGCUCGUACCUUGACGGUACCUAACCAGAAAGCCACGGCUAACUACGUGCCAGCAGCCGCGGUAAUACGUAGGUGGCAAGCGUUGUCCGGAAUUAUUGGGCGUAAAGCGCGCGCAGGCGGUUCCUUAAGUCUGAUGUGAAAGCCCCCGGCUCAACCGGGGAGGGUCAUUGGAAACUGGGGAACUUGAGUGCAGGAGAGGAAAGCGGAAUUCCACGUGUAGCGGUGAAAUGCGUAGAUAUGUG